GCGAUUCUCCUGCCUCAGCCUCCUGAGCAGCUGGGAUUACAGAAUUCCACACAAGGCCCGGACUCUGACUUCGAUGGAGUGCAUGGAAGACAGGAAGAUAAACCCAGCCUGCUGCAAACACAGGUUACCAUCAGCAUGAAAAAGUUACACCCCAUGAAGUGGCCAUUCUCUUCUCAAGACGUGCUGUUCAAUGGUCUAUGUUCAAAAUUAAAUGAUUCUCCAGGA